CCAGACUCCUACGGGAGGCAGCAGUGGGGAAUAUUGCGCAAUGGGCGAAAGCCUGACGCAGCGACGCCGCGUGAGGGAUGAAGGUCUUCGGAUCGUAAACCUCUGUCAGCAGGGAAGAACGGUCACUGUGCUAAUCAGCAGUGAAUUGACGGUACCUGCAAAGGAAGCACCGGCUAACUCCGUGCCAGCAGCCGCGGUAAUACGGAGGGUGCGAGCGUUAAUCGGAAUUACUGGGCGUAAAGCGCACGUAGGCUGUAUGACAAGUCAAGGGUGAAAUGCCACGGCUCAACCGUGGAACUGCCUUUGAAACUGUCAAACUGGAGUAUGUGAGAGGGCGGCGGAAUUCCUGGUGUAGGAGUGAAAUCCGUAGAUAUCAGGAGGAACAUCAGUGGCGAAGGCGGCCGCCUGGCACAAAACUGACGCUGAGGUGCGAAAGCGUGGGUAGCAAACAGGAUUAGAUACCCUCGUAC
rnacentral:rRNA from 1 species